rnacentral:rRNA from 1 species
GGAUGCGAUCAUACCAGCACUAAAGCACCGAAUCCCAUCAGAACUCCGAAGUUAAGCGUGCUUGGGCGAGAGUUGUACUAGGACGGGUGACCUCCUGGGAAGUCCUCGUGUUGCAUUCC